AUACGGGGGGAGCAAGCGUUGUUCGGAAUUACUGGGCGUAAAGGGCGCGUAGGCGGCCUGCUAAGUCGAACGUGAAAUCCCCGGGCUCAACCCGGGAACUGCGUCCGAUACUGGCAGGCUUGAAUCCGGGAGAGGGAUGCGGAAUUCCAGGUGUAGCGGUGAAAUGCGUAGAUAUCUGGAGGAACACCGGUGGCGAAGGCGGCAUCCUGGACCGGCAUUGACGCUGAGGCGCGAAAGCCAGGGGAGCAAACG
rnacentral:rRNA from 1 species